rnacentral:rRNA from 1 species
AGAAUUUGAUCUUGGUUCAGACUGAACGCUGACGGCGUGGAUGAGACAUGCAAGUCGCACGGAUGGAGGAGCAAUCCUUCAUGAGUGGCGAAAGGGUUAGUAAUAGAUGGGUAAUAUACCCUUAACCUGGGGAUAACGAUUGGAAACGAUCGCUAAUACCGAAUGAGAUCUGAGGUGGCAUCACCGAAUGAUCAAAGUGGGGGACCUUGAAAAAGGCCUUGCGGUUGAGGAGUAGCCCAUGUAGUAUCAGCUAGUUGGUAGUGUAACGGACUACCAAGGCUAAGACGCUUAGGCGGAUUGAGAGAUUGACCGCCAACACUGGGACUGAGACACUGCCCAGACUCCUACGGGAGGCAGCAGUCGAGAAUAUUUCGCAAUGGGCGAAAGCCUGACGAAGCGACGCCGUGUGGAUGAAGAAGGCCUUAGGGUCGUAAAAUCCUGUCAUUUGGGAGCAAAUAGCGAGAGUGAAUAAAACUCGCUAAUGAGAGUACCAGAGAAGGAAGCACUGGCUAACUCCGUGCCAGCAGCUGCGGUAAUACGGAGGGUGCAAGCGUUAGUCGGAAUAACUGGGCGUAAAGGGUGCGUAGGCGGGCUUAUAAGUUAUGUGUGAAAUUACGGGGCUUAACCCUGUAGCUGCAUAUAAAACUGUAAGUCUAGAGGAAUGGUGGGGAAAGCGGAAUUCCACAUGUAGCGGUGAAAUGCGUAGAUAUGUGGAAGAACACCUGUGGCGAAAGCGGCUUUCUAACCUAAUCCAGACGCUGAGGCACGAAAGCAAGGGGAUCAAACAGGAUUAGAUACCCUGGUAGUCCUUGCCUUAAACAAUGUAUACUUGGCGUAGUUGGAUUCAACCCCGACUGUGCCGAAGCAAACGCGAUAAGUAUACCGCCUGUGGAGUACACUCGCAAGGGUGAAACUCAAAAGAAUUGACGGGGACCCGCACAAGCAGUGGAGCAUGUGGUUUAAUUCGAUGCGACGCGAAGAACCUUACCUGGGUUUGAUAUGCAAGUGAAUAUAUCAGAGAUGAUAUAGUCCCGCAAGGGACGCUUGCACAGGUGCUGCAUGGCUGUCGUCAGCUCGUGCCGUGAGGUGUUUGGUUAAGUCCAGCAACGAGCGCAACCCUUGUCAUUAGUUGCCAGCGAGUAAUGUCGGGCACUCUAGUGAGACUGCCUGGGUUAACCAGGAGGAAGGUGAGGAUGACGUCAAGUCCGCAUGGCCUUUAUGCCCAGGGCUACACACGUGCUACAAUGGUCGGUACAGAAGGCAGCGAAGCCGUGAGGCGGAGCAAUUCCCCAAAGCCGACCCCAGUUCAGAUUGGAGUCUGCAACUCGACUCCAUGAAGCCGGAAUUGCUAGUAAUGGUGGGUCAGCAACACCACCGUGAAUGCGUUCCCGGGUCUUGUACACACCGCCCGUCAAGUCAUGGGAGUUGGUUUUACCCGAAGUCACAGACCUAACCGCAAGGGAGGAUGUGCCUAAGGUGAGGCCGAUGACUGGGACUAAGUCGUAACAAGGUA